rnacentral:rRNA from 1 species
UGUAUUAGCAGAGGACAUGCAAGUGCAUUGAGGUUAAGGACCUUGCUCCUAAACUUGAUGGUUACCGCUGCCAAUCUCGAUUGCACCUUCUCCUCAGAACACAGAGUGACAGGUGGUGCAUGGUUGUCGUCAGCUCGUGUCGUGAGAUGUUGGGUUAAGUCCCGCAACGAGCGCAACCCUUGAUCUUAGUUGCCAUCAUUUAGUUGGGCACUCUAAGGUGACUGCCGGUGACAAACCGGAGGAAGGUGGGGAUGACGUCAAAUCAUCAUGCCCCUUAUGACCUGGGCUACACACGUGCUACAAUGGACGGUACAAAGAGCUGCAAGACCGCGAGGUGGAGCUAAUCUCAUAAAACCGUUCUCAGUUCGGAUUGUAGGCUGCAACUCGCCUACGUGAGGCUGGAAUCGCUAGUAAUCGCGGAUCAGCAUGCCGCGCUGAAUACGUUCCCGGGCCUUGUACACGCGCGCCCGUACCGUCAAUUCAUUUGAGUUUACACGUCAAUUCAUUUGAGUUUUACCG